AAAAAAGUAAGAUGUCAAAAAUUGAGAUGACCACUACUGUAGACAACAUGGAAUGGAAUGGAAGUAUAAUACUGUUUUUAGUCAUGGCUUUAAAUUCCAAGUAUUUGAAACACAUUCUUCACAGGUGUUGAGAUGUACACUCUAUCCCUCAAGACCAAUGUGAUCAAUCUCUGGACAGCCAAAAGCAUAUUGGUUAGUACUCCAUCUAAUGGCAGCAUCAGAGUAAACAACACAGAAACUACUAAACCAACCUGUUAUUCAUGAUUAUACAUGGCAAGGAAAUAACUACACAUGAACUCCGUGAAAAGCUCUGGGCUUUUCUUCAUGUAAUGAGCGUUUCCUGGAUUCUUGAAUUAUAGCACUGCACACUGAGCAUUUCCACAGAUCUCCACUGUGUAAAAUGGGAGUUCUGUGCUUCUGUCAUGUAUCUGAAAGGACGGCUUCUGUGGUUUUCCUGUGAAAUUGUAAAACCACACUGAAGAUGUCUCUGAAAUAUAGAUGAUUUACUACUCUUCAGUGAAUAACGAUUUAAUUCAAUGAUAGAAUUUUGAGGGUUCCUGAAGACCUUACCAUGGAUCAGAGCCCAAGACUGCUUCAACUUUCACUUUAUGAAGCACAGUGUCACAGCAUCCAUUCUUGCAAUUGCAAGAGCCAGAAAAUGGCCUUUGUGAUAAUGCCACUGAGAUUUAGAACGUUAAAGCAAUCUCAUUAUCAGUUUACAUCCCCAGUUGGAAAUCAGAGAUUGUUCAGCGCAUCAAACAGUUGAGUUGGGGCAUGUAAUGUGCAGCCCAAGGGCCAAGCGAGACCUGCUGAGUCAUAUAAUGUGGGCUCCAGCUGCCCUCCUCCUGUUGCUGAAGGAUGAGGAUAUAGUAGCAGAACUGAUUGAUGCUGCUAAUGAACUUCAAUGACAAUGAAUUAUUUGCCAUCUGCAUAAUGUGGAAGGAUACCUUCAGUGAGAAUGAAAAUAUGAAUUACAAACUGUGAAUGAGUAUGGAUCCUGUGUUGUCCUAAAUCCCUUUUGAGCUGCUCAUAAAAACAGACCUUAAUACUACAUGAAUGAAUCAGCUGGGGAUUUCUUUCCUCUGGAUAAAUUGUAAUGCUGGAGAAGAAUGUCAUCCAUAUGUCUAAUAGGGGCAACAAUGUUAUGUACCACUCCAUUAGCAGUUAUAUUUGUUGAUACAUUUAAAUGACUACAAUCUGCUAUGUAAUGAACUUUAAAGUGAAGACAACUUCUGAGAUCAGUAUAUGAUUUAUGUGUUGUCUAGUUUCAGUCUGGA
ensembl:lncRNA